CCAUCCUGGAAUUGGUGAGUACUUGUCUUGUUUCAGAGGCAGGACAAGCACCCCUGUCGAGAAGUUCUUGAAUACGUGCGGACCAGCUUCAAAUCCACCAUUUUUCACCAAGUUACCUGCAUACAUGACCAGGAAAAAGAAGGAUCAGGAAAGUUGAUGCUAUCGUCGAGUUUGGAAUCAAGAGAAUACAUUUCUACAACGAAACAAGAGAGUGAUUUUACACUUUUAUUGGAUGUAUCAUUCGUGUUUGAGUGAAAAACUAAGAAGAAAAAAUGUAUUUCGUGAUAAUACUUUGUCUUGAUAAUUGAUCUGUCCUGAGUAUGAUGACUUGAUUCUGUUUAUUUACGAA